CCUACGGGCGGCAGCAGUGGGGGAUAUUGGACAAUGGGGGAAACCCUGAUCCAGCGACGCCGCGUGAGUGAAGAAGUAUCUCGGUAUGUUAAGCUCUGUCAGUAGGGAAGAAAGAAAUGACGGUACCUGAGUAAGAAGCUCCGGCUAAAUACGUGCCAGCAGCCGCGGUAAUACGUAUGGAGCAAGCGUUAUCCGGAUGUACUGGGCGUAAAGGGAGCGUAGGCGGCCUGCGAAGUCUGAUGUGAAAUACCGGGGCUCAACCCCGGGAGUGCAUUGGCAACUGGCAGGCUGGAGUGCCGGAGAGGCAGGCGGAAUUCGUGGUGUAGCGGUGAAAUGCGUAGAUAUUAGGAGGAACACCAGUGGCGAAGGCGGCCUGCUGGACGGUGACUGACGCUGAGGCUCGAAGGCGUGGGGAGCAAACAGGAUUAGAUACCCGAGUAGUC
rnacentral:rRNA from 1 species